GAUGAACGCUGGCGGCGUGCCUAAUACAUGCAAGUCGAGCGAACAGACGAGGAGCUUGCUCCUCUGACGUUAGCGGCGGACGGGUGAGUAACACGUGGAUAACCUACCUAUAAGACUGGGAUAACUUCGGGAAACCGGAGCUAAUACCGGAUAAUAUAUUGAACCGCAUGGUUCAAUAGUGAAAGACGGUUUUACUGUCACUUAUAGAUGGAUCCGCGCCGCAUUAGCUAGUUGGUAAGGUAACGGCUUACCAAGGCGACGAUGCGUAGCCGACCUGAGAGGGUGAUCGGCCACACUGGAACUGAGACACGGUCCAGACUCCUACGGGAGGCAGCAGUAGGGAAUCUUCCGCAAUGGGCGAAAGCCUGACGGAGCAACGCCGCGUGAGUGAUGAAGGUCUUCGGAUCGUAAAACUCUGUUAUUAGGGAAGAACAAAUGUGUAAGUAACUAUGCACGUCUUGACGGUACCUAAUCAGAAAGCCACGGCUAACUACGU
rnacentral:rRNA from 1 species